rnacentral:rRNA from 1 species
UGGGGAAUCUUGCGCAAUGGUCGAAAGACUGACGCAGCGACGCCGCGUGUGGGAGGACGCCUUUCGGGGUGUAAACCACUGUUGCCCGGGACGAAUUGCUUCAUUCGUGGAGCGUGACGGUACCGGGUGAGGCAGCACCGGCGAACUCCGUGACAGCAGCCGCGGUAAUACGGAGGGUGCGAGCGUUGUCCGGAAUCAUUGGGCGUAAAGGGCGCGUAGGUGGCCCGGUCAGUCCGUGGUGAAAGCGCGGGGCUCAACCCUGCGUCGGCCAGGGAUACUGCCGCGGCUCGAGCACUGUAGAGGCAGGCGGAAUUCCGGGUGUAGCGGUGGAAUGCGUAGAGAUCCGGAAGAACACCGGUGGCGAAGGCGGCCUGCUGGGCAGUCUGGCUGACACUGAGGCGCGACAGCGUGGGGAGCAAA